UCAGCCUGCCCUCCACCUCGGAGGGAACACGGUGUCUCCCUCUGCUGCCCUAUGUCCUUCUGGAUGGCCUUCCACAGAAAAGAAGUUGGUGUUCACGGGUUUGCUAUACGUCAGAUGAAUAUACAUUCUCUCUUUUCUUUUUCCCAUGCCUUUCUUUUUCUUUCCCCACUUCCAUUAUUUCCACCCCCUUCCUCUGGGCCUGUCCUCUGCCCUCUUUCCUUCUCAUUCCCUUCUCUAUCCUUCUCUUCCCCCAUCCUCUUCCUUUCAACUGCGUGAACAUCUCAAUUGUACCAUGUCGGCGGAUCCUUGCCGGUCUGAUAUUUUAUACUAGCUGAGUCCAUUUGAAGACGCUCUCCUUCUCCCAUGGGAAACCUCUGAGAUGCUCCAGAGAAAACAGGACACAAGGGUACCUGAGCUGGAAGCCGAGGAUGGAGGUUGUCAUGGUCUUCCAAAGAAGGUUCUGAAAGAAGAAGAUGGGACUGCGUGGGAAUCCAGGGAUUUAUGCGACUCGAUCCUGCAUUUGUAAAAACAGUAUUAUUAUUCCUAGCCAUCUGACAGGGUCAUCGUGCAAGUCCCAGAAGUACUGUCUGUGGAAGUGAUUUGAAAAUGGCAAAGGGCUAAGAGGUGUCUCUUUUGGAGAAGCAGCCUGUGGCUGGGAGGUCACUGGGAUUGGACUUUAACAGUUGGGGAAGCCAUGUGCGUGCCUCCUCAGAGCCUCAGUUUUAUCACCUGGGAAGUGGAAAUGAUAAUACCCAUCUCUUAGGCUUUGAAAGUGGGAAUUAGACAUAAUGUGCAUAAAACUAUUGCAUAAGCAAUAAGAUGCUGUGUGCUCUCAUUCAUAAAUACUUCCAACACUGACGUGCAUAAGGCGGGCAGCAGGGAGCUGAGGAUGGAGAUGCAAGUUGUCUGAGGAGCUAUUCUGACCUUGACGGCCCCUCCAAGCAGCUCUGGCCUUGGAACCUGGCGGCCUCCUGCUGUGCCAUUGGAGGAAUUUCCAGGAGGUGGGAGAAAGUUCCAAGGAAGGAUGGAAAGAGCAGCUGGGUCACACCUGUCCAAGGAAUGGAGGGCGGGAGUGGGGGCCCUGGAGAGUGGGAAGCUUCAACUUUAUUGGUAGACAAGGGUGUCCAAGGCAGAUAGACGCACAGGAACGGGGCUGAAAGGAAAGCAUGAUGCCCAGUUUGGACAAAGGAGGGAUAUGGAAUUGCAAGACCUUGGAUGGGGAGAAUGGCGAGCAAAAUACAAGGUGUGCUGGGAUUUUUAUAGACCUUGCCACUGUGCUCGCAUUUAUAAGAUUUGCGCUGUUUUCUCUCUGUGGGGUUAAGGCUGGAAGGAAACUGGAGUGCUUCAAAGCUCCCCAUCCAGGUUCAUGCAGGCCCUCUGCAAUGCAGCCCGUCGCCCGCAUCAUCUUGGCGCCCUGAGCUGGGAGGUGGGGAGCAGACAUUGACACGAUUCUCUCAGAAGUGACUUUCUUGUGAUUUGUUCCUCCAUUCCUUCCCUCAGCCAAACCAGAAAAACCACUGAACCUGGGUAUUUGGUGUGGGUUAAGGUUUUCUGGAUCUCGUA